rnacentral:lncRNA from 1 species
CAAUACCAAGAUGCAACAGCAGAUGAAGAAGGUGAGUACGAGGAUGAGGAAGAAGGAGAAUACCAACAAGAGGAAGAGUACUGAUGAGUAACUACGUCACACCUCCCCUUAAACAAUUUAGUCUUUUGCUACUUUAUGAAAAAGAAAACCUCAACUACCAGUUGCAGGUUUAUUUGGUUUGUAUGGACAACUCUAGGAUCUUCUUCUCUUUACUUUGUGGACUGUUGUUCUCUCUACUUUAUGUUCUUA